GUAGACUACGAAAUUGCACAGAGAAUUGAAUCAUACUUGGCGAUCACAGAGAGUCCAAUCGUGAAGGUGUCACCUGCCAUGACCGUUGUCGGAGACGGGGUGUUGUCGCCAAGGGUUGCUUCAUUCUCGUCCAGAGGCCCGAGUCCUCUAUUCCCAGGCAUACUCAAGCCCGACAUAACUGCACCAGGCGUCGGCAUCUUGGCAGCUAUGCGCGGCUUCUAUGUGUUAAUGGAUGGUACAUCAAUGGCAUGCCCACAUGUCUCUGCAGUUACCGCACUUCUUAAGUCGGUUCACCCUGACUGGUCGCCUGCUAUG